rnacentral:rRNA from 1 species
GACGAACGCUGGCGGCGUGCCUAAUACAUGCAAGUCGAACGCUGAAGAGAGGAGCUUGCCCUUCUUGGAUGAGUUGCGAACGGGUGAGUAACGCGUAGGUAACCUGCCUUGUAGCGGGGGAUAACUAUUGGAAACGAUAGCUAAUACCGCAUAACAAUGGAUGACACAUGUCAUUUAUUUGAAAGGGGCAAUUGCUCCACUACAAGAUGGACCUGCGUUGUAUUAGCUAGUAGGUGAGGUAAUGGCUCACCUAGGCGACGAUACAUAGCCGACCUGAGAGGGUGAUCGGCCACACUGGGACUGAGACACGGCCCAGACUCCUACGGGAGGCAGCAGUAGGGAAUCUUCGGCAAUGGGGGCAACCCUGACCGAGCAACGCCGCGUGAGUGAAGAAGGUUUUCGGAUCGUAAAGCUCUGUUGUAAGUCAAGAACGGGUGUGAGAGUGGAAAGUUCACACUGUGACGGUAGCUUACCAGAAAGGGACGGCUAACUACGUG